GAUGAACGCUGGCUACAGGCUUAACACAUGCAAGUCGAGGGGAAACGACGGGGAAGCUUGCUUCCCCGGGCGUCGACCGGCGCACGGGUGAGUAACGCGUAUCCAACCUGCCUCUGACUGAGGGAUAACCCGUCGAAAGUCGGCCUAAUACCUCAUGGCAUCGUCUGCGGGCAUCCAACGACGAUUAAAGAUUUCAUCGGUCAGGGAUGGGGAUGCGUCUGAUUAGCUGGUUGGCGGGGUAACGGCCCACCAAGGCUACGAUCAGUAGGGGUUCUGAGAGGAAGGUCCCCCACAUUGGAACUGAGACACGGUCCAAACUCCUACGGGAGGCAGCAGUGAGGAAUAUUGGUCAAUGGGCGAGAGCCUGAACCAGCCAAGUAGCGUGCAGGAUGACGGCCCUAUGGGUUGUAAACUGCUUUUAUGCGGGGAUAAAGUGAGGGACGUGUCCUUCAUUGCAGGUACCGC
rnacentral:rRNA from 1 species